rnacentral:rRNA from 1 species
AAUAUUGGACAAUGGGCGCAAGCCUGAUCCAGCCAUGCCGCGUGAGUGAUGAAGGCCNNNGGGUUNUCAAGCUCUUUCACCGGNGACNAUAAUGACGGUAACCGGAGAAUAAGCCCUGGCUAACUUCGUGCCAGCAGCCGCGGUAAUACGAAGGGGGCUAGCGUUGUUCGGAAUUACUGGGCGUAAAGCGCACGUAGGCGGAGAAGUCAGUUAGGGGUGAAAUCCCGGGGCUCAACCCCGGAACUGCCUUUAAUACUGCUGAUCUAGAGUCCGAGAGAGGUGAGUGGAAUUCCGAGUGUAGAGGUGAAAUUCGUAGAUAUUCGGAGGAACACCAGUGGCGAAGGCGGCUCACUGGCUCGGUACUGACGCUGAGGUGCGAAAGCGUGGGGAGCAAAC